AGGACGAACGCUGGCGGCGUGCUUAACACAUGCAAGUCGAGCGGAAAGGCCCUUCGGGGUACUCGAGCGGCGAACGGGUGAGUAACACGUGAGUAAUCUGCCCCUAGCUCUGGGAUAGCUCCGGGAAACCGGGAUUAAUACCAGAUACGACCACUUUAGACAUCUGUUGUGGUGGAAAGAAUUUUGGCUAGGGAUGAGCUCGCGGCCUAUCAGCUUGUUGGUGAGGUAACGGCUCACCAAGGCGACGACGGGUAGCCGGCCUGAGAGGGCGACCGGCCACACUGGGACUGAGACACGGCCCAGACUCCUACGGGAGGCAGCAGUGAGGAAUAUUGCGCAAUGGGCGAAAGCCUGACGCAGCGACGCCGCGUGGGGGAUGAAGGCCUUCGGGUUGUAAACCCUUCAGCAGGACGAAGCGAAAGUGACGGUACCUGCAGAAGAAGCGCCGGCUAACUACGUGCCAGCAGCCGC
rnacentral:rRNA from 1 species